rnacentral:rRNA from 1 species
UUGACGGGGCCCGCACAAGCGGUGGAGCAUGUGGUUAAUUCGAAGCAACGCGAAGAGCCUUACCAGGUCUUGACAUCCCCUGACAACCCGAGAGAUCGGGCGUUCCCCUUCGGGGGACAGGGUGACAGGUGGUGCAUGGUUGUCGUCAGCUCGUGUCGUGAGAUGUUGGGUUAAGUCCCGCAACGAGCGCAACCCUCGACCUUAGUUGCCAGCAUUCAGUUGGGCACUCUAAGGUGACUGCCGGCUAAAAGUCGGAGGAAGGUGGGGAUGACGUCAAAUCAUCAUGCCCCUUAUGACCUGGGCUACACACGUGCUACAAUGGGCGGUACAAAGGGUCGCGAACCCGCGAGGGGGAGCCAAUCCCAUAAAGCCGGUCGUAGUCCGGAUCGCAGUCUGCAACUCGACUGCGUGAAGUCGGAAUCGCUAGUAAUCGUGGAUCAGCAUGUCACGGUGAAUACGUUCCCGGGUCUU